rnacentral:tRNA from 1 species
GGGGCCGUGGGCUAGCAUGGCGAUACUCGUGGCUUCGGGAGUCACGGACCCCGGUUCAAAUCCGGGCGGCCCCA